UAAGUAAGCCAGAUAAUCGCAUGUAAUCUUACAUGAGGAAAGUCGGAGCUCCAUAGAGCAGGGUGCUAGGUAACGCCUAGUGGGAGCGAUCCUAAGGAUAGUGCAACAGAAAUAAACCGCCCACUAUUGUGGUAAGGAUGGAAAGGCGAGGUAAGAGCUCACCAGCAGCUAGGCGACUAGUUGGCUAUGUAAACCCCACCUGGAGCAAGACCAAGAUAGGAAUAAAGAGUGCUGCUCGUACUCUCCGGUAGGUAGGUCGCUUGAGCCUAUUGGUGACAAUAGGCCUAGAAAGAUGAUUAUCUAAUACAGAACUCCGCUUAUAGACUUGCUUAAUUA
rnacentral:RNase_P_RNA from 1 species